CGCGUAGGCGGACUUUCAAGUCGGAUGUGAAAACUCCGGGCUCAACUCGGAGCCUGCAUCCGAUACUGUUGGUCUUGAGUAUAUGAGAGGAAAGCGGAAUUCCAGGUGUAGCGGUGGAAUGCGUAGAUAUCUGGAAGAACACCAGUAGCGAAGGCGGCUUUCUGGCGUAAUACUGACGCUGAAGCGCGAAGGCUAGGGGAGCAAACA
rnacentral:rRNA from 1 species